UUAUGGUAGGCUUCACACGUCAUACAAUGGUCGGUACAGAGGGUUGCCAAGCCGCGAGGUGGAGCCAAUCCCAGAAAGCCGAUCGUAGUCCGGAUUGUUCUCUGCAACUCGAGAGCAUGAAGUCGGAAUCGCUAGUAAUCGCGGAUCAGCAUGUCGCGGUGAAUACGUUCCCGGGUCCUU
rnacentral:rRNA from 1 species